rnacentral:rRNA from 1 species
UGGGGAAUAUUGGACAAUGGGCGAAAGCCUGAUCCAGCCAUGCCGCGUGUGUGAAGAAGGUCUUCGGAUUGUAAAGCACUUUAAGUUGGGAGGAAGGGCAUUAACCUAAUACGUUAGUGUUUUGACGUUACCGACAGAAUAAGCACCGGCUAACUCUGUGCCAGCAGCCGCGGUAAUACAGAGGGUGCAAGCGUUAAUCGGAAUUACUGGGCGUAAAGCGCGCGUAGGUGGUUUGUUAAGUUGGAUGUGAAAUCCCCGGGCUCAACCUGGGAACUGCAUUCAAAACUGACUGACUAGAGUAUGGUAGAGGGUGGUGGAAUUUCCUGUGUAGCGGUGAAAUGCGUAGAUAUAGGAAGGAACACCAGUGGCGAAGGCGACCACCUGGACUAAUACUGUCACUGAGGUGCGAAAGCGUGGGGAGCAAACA